UGAGCUAAAAAGAAGCUUAUCUUUAAGCCUUCUGGAAACUUUUGUAAUCAGGGACAUUUUCAUUCCAGAUUUUCUUCUGUUCCUGAAAAACCUACACCCAAAUGAAAUGUCACUUCAGGGAAUGUCACUUUAAUCCCAAGAAAGAAAAGAUGAAGAAAAGGAUAUCUGACUGAAUCUUGUAUAGAGGACUACAUGAAGGCUCGUCUGAUAUGUAACAACUUGACAAGUCACCAGAUGUCCAGGAUGAGCUGUAAAUGCUCAACUAUCCAGGGGAGGCAGUGUGGUAUACUGGAAACAGAGGACAGACGUGAGAUGGAUUUGGAAGACUCCCCCCAAAAAAUCUUGGUAAGAAAUCUAUUGAUUUUUCUUU
rnacentral:lncRNA from 1 species